rnacentral:rRNA from 1 species
UGAAUACGAGACGCUAAGGCGUCGAAGUAGUGUAUGUCAUACUUCCAAGAAAAGCUUGCACUGUCAUAAGUAAAAAAUGCCUGUACCAUAACCGACACAGGUGGGUAGGUAGAGUAUACUAAGGGGCGCGAGAUAACUCUCUCUAAGGAACUCGGCAAAAUAACUCCGUAACUUCGGGAGAAGGAGUACCUUAUUCUAUAAGGUUGCAAUAACAAGAUCCAAGCAACUGUUUAUCAAAAACACAGGUCUCCGCUAAGUCGUAAGACGACGUAUGGGGGCUGACGCCUGCCCAGUGCCAGAAGGUUAAAGAAGUCGGUUAGCAUUAGCGAAGCUGGUAACUGAAGCCCUGGUGAACGGCGGCCGUAACUAUAACGGUCCUAAGGUAGCGAAAUUCCUUGUCGGGUAAGUUCCGACCCGCACGAAAGGCGUAAUGAUUUGGAUACUGUCUCGGAGAGGGGCUCGGUGAAAUAGACUUGUCUGUGAAGAUGCGGACUACCUGCACCAGGACAGAAAGACCCUAUGAAGCUUUACUGUAACUUGAAAUUGAAAUUGGACUUUAUUCGCGCAGUAUAGGUGGGAGGUGUUGAUUAUAAUCUUGCGGGAUUAUUGGAGCCAUCAGUGAGAUACCACUCUUGUAAUGUUAGAUUUCUAACUUUGAAUCAUUAUCUGGUCAAAGGUCAGUUUCAGGCGGGCAGUUUGACUGGGGCGGUCGCCUCCCAAACGGUAACGGAGGCGUACAAAGGUUUCCUCUGAACGGGUAGAAAUCGUAUCUAGAGUGUAAAGGCAUAAGGAAGCUUGACUGUGAGACCUACAAGUCGAACAGGGACGAAAGUCGGUCUUAGUGAUCUGACGGUACUGAGUGGAAAGGCCGUCACUCAACGGAUAAAAGUUACUCUAGGAUAACAGGCUGAUCUCCCCCAAGAGUUCACAUCGACGGGGAGGUUUGGCACCUCGAUGUCGGCUCAUCGCAUCCUGGGGCGGUAGUACGUCCCAAGGGUUGGGCUGUUCGCCCAUGAAAGCGGUACGCGAGCUGGGUUCAGAACGUCGUGAGACAGUUCGGUCCAUAUCCGGUGUAGGCGUUAGAAUAUUGAGAGGAGCCUUCUUUAGUACGAGAGGACCGAGAAGGACAUACCUCUGGUGUACCAGUUAUCGUGCCAACGGUAAACGCUGGGUAGCUAUGUAUGGAGUGGAUAACCGCUGAAAGCAUCUAAGUGGGAAGCCCACCUCAAGAUAAGUAUUCCC